rnacentral:lncRNA from 1 species
GAGGGUCUGCAGGGCUGUGUGUUUCCUUAGCGGCCACAUGCACAUCAGGGACACGUACUUGCUGUCUGCGCUUGGAGCCGGAGCUCUUUGAUGACACGCGCAGGGAAUCCAGCGCAGGCCGCGCGCCGGGGACAGCGUUCUGCCGCAGCACGGGGACGGGUCCUCCCCUCGAGGCGUCGCUCCCAUCCCUUUGUCUCCCGGCAGGCGGCGGCGCCCUCGCC